AUCCAUGACUAAAAUGUUAUGAAAUCAUAAAACUUGUCGCUUCAUGAUAUUGUCACUACAAGUCAUGAUAUCAUGACGUUAACAACGAUUAUUAUGAAUAAUAAUAACUGAUUCCAUCAACAAAAGCCAUAGCCGUCAAAAGCGUUAUGAAACAAUUAAGCUCGUUUUCAUAAAUUGAAUACCAUAAAGCAUAGUCAUGGUAGCAUGGCUCUGAGUCAUAAAACUAUGACGCUGAGUCAUCUCAACCAGACGCUGAGUCGUAUAAACAUAAUGCAGAGUCAUAAAAUCAUGAAUCACAACAAACGAAUUUGGGCACUGUAAGCGUUACGCAAACCCUCGCGCAGAAUCACCUACACCAUUUUUGUCACUUCUGUCAAGGCGCCUUUUGUGAGCGGCAGUGUUUUCCGAAGUUGAAAGUGAAAAAACUCUAUAUUCCGGCACAAAACUCCGGCCAGCUUCAUCAGCAGCAGAACAAUCAAGCUCACACGGCGGGCGACAUGGAACAUAAAAUCAGCACGCGCUUGGAUUUUCUUAAGGAAAAAUUCGAGAACCUUAAUUUGCAGCCGCAAAUUGUUUCGGUUGGGGCAUCGCGGGGAGAAGGAGCGGUGCUCGUUAUUUUCGGGGGAGCGAAGUACAAGGCAGACCACAUCCUCCAUGCCAUUUGCAUGCAAGUGAUAUAUGUUUUGAAACUCCAGUAUGCACCAGACUGCAAGCCCCUCUGGAUGUUCAAAAUCCCAGCGGUAGAUCUACCCAAAAGCACCCGUGAUUUACUGCGGGCUAUUGAGUAGGUUGAAGGCACAAUGAUGAAUAAAUAUUGACAAAUACCAGAAUCAUAAAAAUUACUUCAAUAUUCAGGAACCUUGUUCAUGAUUUCAGAGUGCGUGCUUCACGAUAACAUGACCUUAAAUGCCACUUUGCACCAAUUAAUCCGAUAGUAUAAAUAACAAAUACUAGAAUCAUGCA